GAAAGGAGCAAUCCGCUGAUAGAUGGGCUUGCGUCUGAUUAGAUAGUUGGUGGGGUAACGGCCUACCAAGUCGACGAUCAGUAGCCGGACUGAGAGGUUGAACGGCCACAUUGGGACUGAGAUACGGCCCAGACUCCUACGGGAGGCAGCAGUCGGGAAUAUUGCGCAAUGGAGGAAACUCUGACGCAGUGACGCCGCGUGCAGGAAGAAGGUUUUCGGAUUGUAAACUGCUUUAGACAGGGAAGAACAAGGACAGUACCUGUAGAAUAAGCUCCGGCUAACUACGUGCCAGCAGCCGCGGUAAUACGUAGGGAGCAAGCGUUAUCCGGAUUUAUUGGGUGUAAAGGGUGCGUAGACGGGAAGGCAAGUUAGUUGUGAAAUCCCUCGGCUUAACUGAGGAACUGCAACUAAAACUAUCUUUCUUGAGUGCUGGAGAGGAAAGUGGAAUUCCUAGUGUAGCGGUGAAAUGCGUAGAUAUUAGGAGGAACACCAGUGGCGAAGGCGACUUUCUGGACAGUAACUGACGUUGAGGCACGAAAGUGUGGGGAGCAAACAGGAUUAGAUACCCUGGUAGUCCACACCGUAAACGAUGGAUACUAGGUGUAGGGGAUGAAUAAUCUUCU
rnacentral:rRNA from 1 species